CGAGCGAAGCGGGAUGAGCUCAAAUUUGAAAUCUGGCGUCUUUCAGGCGUCCGAGUUGUAAUCUAUAGAAGCGUUUUCUGUGCUGGACCAUGUCCAAGUCCCUUGGAACAGGGUAUCAAAGAGGGUGACAAUCCCGUACUUGACAUGACCACCAGUGCUCUGUGAUACGUUUUCAACGAGUCGAGUUGUUUGGGAAUGCAGCUCAAAAUGGGUGGUAAAUUCCAUCUAAAGCUAAAUAUUGGCGAGAGACCGAUAGCGAACAAGUACCGUGAGGGAAAGAUGAAAAGCACUUUGGAAAGAGAGUUAAACAGUACGUGAAAUUGUUGAAAGGGAAACGAUUGAAGUCAGUCGUGUCUAUUGGUUUCAGCCGGUUCUGCCGGUGUAUUACCUUUAGACGGGUCAACAUCAGUUUUGGACGGCACAUAAGAGCGGUUUGAAUGUAUCACCUCCGGGUGUGUUAUAGCUUACUGUUGCAUAUGCUGUCCGAGACUGAGGACUGCAGCUCGCCUUUAGGCCGGGGUUCGCCCACGUUCGAGCUUAGG
rnacentral:rRNA from 1 species